UACGUAGGGGGCUAGCGUUGUCCGGAAUCAUUGGGCGUAAAGAGCGUGUAGGCGGUCCGGUAAGUCCGUUGUGAAAGUCAGGGGUCAACCCUUGAAUGCCGGACGGAUACUGUCGGGCUAGAGUCCGGAAGAGGCAAGUGGAAUUCCUGGUGUAGCGGUGAAAUGCGUAGAUAUCAGGAGGAACACCGGUGGUGUAGACGGCUUUCUGGACCGUAACUGCGCUGAAACAACGAAAGCGUGGGUAGCAAACAGG
rnacentral:rRNA from 1 species